CGCACAGUAAACGAUGAAUACUAGCUGUUGGCGAUAUACAGUCAGUGGCACAGCGAAAGCGUUAAGUAUUCCACCUGGGGAGUACGCCGGCAACGGUGAAACUCAAAGGAAUUGACGGGGGCCCGCACAAGCGGAGGAACAUGUGGUUUAAUUCGAUGAUACGCGAGGAACCUUACCCGGGCUUGAAUUGCAUUUGAAUGUAGCGGAAACGUUGCAGCCAGCAAUGGCAAAUGUGAAGGUGC
rnacentral:rRNA from 1 species